rnacentral:rRNA from 1 species
UGAAAAGAACUGAGGUGAUCAGAGUGAAAUAGAACCUGAAACCAUUUGCUUACAAUCAUUCAGAGCCCUAUGUAGCAAUACAGGGUGAUGGACUGCCUUUUGCAUAAUGAGCCUGCGAGUUGUGGUGUCUGGCAAGGUUAAGCAAACGCGAAGCCGUAGCGAAAGCGAGUCUGAAUAGGGCGCUUAGUCAGAUGCUGCAGACCCGAAACGAAGUGAUCUAUCCAUGAGCAAGUUGAAGCUAGUGUAAGAACUAGUGGAGGACUGAACCCAUAGGCGUUGAAAAGCCCCGGGAUGACUUGUGGAUAGGGGUGAAAGGCCAAUCAAACUUCGUGAUAGCUGGUUCUCUCCGAAAUAUAUUUAGGUAUAGCGUUGUGUCGUAAUAUAAGGGGGUAGAGCACUGAAUGGGCUAGGGCAUACACCAAUGUACCAAACCCUAUCAAACUCCGAAUACCUUAUAUGUAAUCACAGCAGUCAGGCGGCGAGUGAUAAAAUCCGUCGUCAAGAGGGAAACAACCCAGACUACCAGCUAAGGUCCCUAAAUCUUACUUAAGUGGAAAACGAUGUGAAGUUACUUAAACAACCAGGAGGUUGGCUUAGAAGCAGCCAUCCUUUAAAGAAAGCGUAAUAGCUCACUGGUCUAGUGAUUUUGCGCGGAAAAUAUAACGGGGCUAAAGUAAGUACCGAAGCUGUAGACUUAGUUUACUAAGUGGUAGGAGAGCGUUCUAUUUGCGUCGAAGGUAUACCGGUAAGGAGUGCUGGAGCGAAUAGAAGUGAGCAUGCAGGCAUGAGUAGCGAUAAUUAAUGUGAGAAUCAUUAACGCCGUAAACCCAAGGUUUCCUACGCGAUGCUCGUCAUCG